CCCGGGCGGAGCGGCCGUCG
rnacentral:snRNA from 1 species